CACGUAGUUAGCCGUGGCUUAUUCUCAGGUACCGUCAUUAUCGUCCCUGAGAAAAGAGGUUUACAACCCAAGGCCUUCAUCCCUCACGCGGCGUUGCUGCUUCACGGGUUUCCCCCAUUGAGCAAAAUUCCCC
rnacentral:rRNA from 1 species